UACGGGGGGGGCAAGCGUUGUUCGGAGUUACUGGGCGUAAAGGGCUCGUAGGCGGCCAACUAAGUCAGACGUGAAAUCCCUCGGCUUAACCGGGGAACUGCGUCUGAUACUGGAUGGCUCGAGUUUGGGAGAGGGAUGCGGAAUUCCAGGUGUAGCGGUGAAAUGCGUAGAUAUCUGGAGGAACACCGGUGGCGAAGGCGGCAUCCUGGACCAACACUGACGCUGAUGAGCGAAAGCCAGGGGAGCAAACGGG
rnacentral:rRNA from 1 species